UUAAGGGUAUAUGGGGAAUGCCUUGGCAUUAGAAGGCUAUGAUUGGCGUGGAAGUCUGCGAUAAGCUUGGGGGAGGUGACAAACGACCUUUGAUCCCGGGAUUCCGGAGCGAACCUGGUGAACUGAAACAUCUAAGUAACCAGAGGAGAAGAAAGAAAAAUCGAUUCCUUUAGUAGCGGCGAGCGAAACAGGAACAGCCCAAACCGAGAGGGUUUCCCUCUCGGGGUUGUAGGACCUACAUAACGGUCGUUGAUAGUGUAGUGGAAGUAGUUGGAAAGCUAGACCACAGAGGGUGACAGUCCCGUACACGAAACACGAUUCAACACCUAGUAGGAUUCCUGAGUAGGUCGGGUCACGUGAAACCCUGACUGAAUCGACGGGGACCAUCCCGUAAGGCUAAAUACUCUCUAAUGACCGAUAGUGAACUCAGUAGGGUGACUGAAAGGUGAAAAGAACCCCUGUUAGGGGAGUGAAAUAGAAUCUGAAACCAUAUACUUACAAGCGGUCGGAGCACUAUACCAUUUAUGGGAUGUGUGACGGCGUGCCUUUUGCAUAAUGAUCCGGCGAGUUACCGUUUGCGGCACGGCGAAGGUCUUACGGACCACAGCCAGAGGGAAACCGAGUCUUAAUAGGGCGUAUAGUCGUAGGUGGUAGACGCGAAACUGAGUGAUCUACCCAUGAGCAGGUUGAAGCGCGGGUUAUACUGCGUGGAGGACCGAACCCACUUAGGUUGAAAACUGAGGGGAUGACUUGUGGGGAGGAGUGAAAGUCUAAUCAAACUCAGAGAUAGCUCGUUCUCUCCGAAAUAGCUUUAGGGCUAGCCUUGAGCCACUAUGAGUCGGGGGUAGAGAGACUGAAUCGGAUGGGGGCCCUUUCCAGGGUACCCCACUGAACCAAACUCCGAAUACCGACUUAUGUAUCUCAGGAGUCAGUCCGCGGGGGAUAAGCUUCGCGGUCGAGAGGGAAACAACCCAGAUCAUCUGCUAAGGUCCCUAAAUAGUACUCAGUCACUAAGGAAGUUGAAUUGCUGAGACAGCCAGGAUGUUGGCUUAGAAGCAGCCACCAUUUAAAAAGUGCGUAACAGCUUACUGGUCGAGCAAUUCUGCGCCGAUAAUGAACGGGAGUAAGUACUAUACCGAAGCAGUGGAUUGCAUAUUUAUUUAUGCAGUGGUAGGAGAGCGCUGUACACUAGCAAGCCGUACCGAAAGGAGCGGUCUCGGAGUGUACAGGUGAUUAUGCCGGAAUGAGUAACGAUAAAGCAGGUGAGAAUCCUGCUCGCCGAAAGCCUAAGGUUUCCUGGGGAAGGUAAAUCCGCCCAGGGUUAGCCGGUUCCUAAGUCGAGGCCGAAAGGCGUAGACGAUGGGUAUCGGGUUAAUAUUCCCGAGCCACGAGAUUGGAGGGACGGCGUCCAGAGCACCUGCGGACUGAUAGAAUAGUCCGUUGCCGAAGCUGAGUUGGAGAGGAAGAAAAUACUCUCAUAAUACAAGGCUGAUGGCUAAGCCCAUAUACGAUGGUAAUGAUGGUAGGAAGGACGUCCAAGAAAAGCUUCGAUCACUAAACGUGACCGUACUAAAACUGACACAGGUAGGCGGGUCGAGUAGACCAAGGCGCUCGAGAGAAUGGUGGUUAAGGAACUCUGCAAAAUGACCCCGUAAGUUCGCGAUAAGGGGUGCCCUCGGUGGUGAGAGCUGCUGGGGGCCACAGAAAAUCGGCUCCUGCGACUGUUUAGCAAAAACACAGGACUCUGCAAACUCGUAAGAGGAAGUAUAGGGUCUGACGCCUGCCCGGUGCCGGUAGGUUAAGGAAGACGGUUAGCCCUUUUAGGGUGAAGCUGGCGACCGAAGCCCCGGUAAACGGCGGCCGUAACUAUGACGGUCCUAAGGUAGCGAAGUUCCUUGUCGGGUAAGUUCCGACCUGCAUGAAAGGCGUAACGACAGGAGCACUGUCUCAACCACCAACUCGGUGAAAUUGUAGUCGUGGUGAAGAUGCCACGUACCCGCGGUUAGACGGAAAGACCCCGUGAACCUUUACUGUAGGCUGAUAUUGGGCUGAAGUAUAUUUUGUGUAGGAUAGGUGGGAGGCUUUGAACUGGUGACGCUAGUCAUCAGGGAGCCGUCCUUGAAAUACCACCCUGAGUAUGUUUUAGUUCUAACCAUGAUCUAGUGAAUCCUAGCAUGGGACAGUGUCAGUUGGGCAGUUUGACUGGGGCGGUCUCCUCCCAAAGAGUAACGGAGGAGUGCAAAGGUACCCUCAGCCUGGUUGGUAAUCAGGCUUAGAGCGCAAAGGUAAAAGGGUGCUUGACUGCGAGACUUAUCAGUCGAGCAGGAACGAAAGUUGGUCUUAGUGAUCCGGUGGUCCCGAAUGGAAGGGCCAUCGCUCAUCAGAUAAAAGGUACUCCGGGGGCGGUUUGGCACCUCGAUGUCGGCUCAUCACAUCCUGGGGGUGAAGAAGCUCCCAAGGGUUUGGCUGUUCGCCAAUGAAAGUGGUACGUGAGCUGGGUUCAGACCGUCGUGAGACAGGUCGGUCCCUAUCUGCCGUGGGCGUACGAAACUUGAGGAGGUUCUUCUUUAGUACGAGAGGAUUUGGAAGGACGUAGCUCUGGUGUACCAGUUGUCGCGCUAGCGGCACGGCUGGAUAGCUAACUACGGAAAGGAUAAACGCUGAAAGCAUCUAAGCGUGAAGCCCGCUCCAAGAUUAGGUUUCGAUUACCAAUAGGUAUGAAGUCCCCUGGAAGACUACCAGGUUGAUAGGCCGGAUGUGUAAGCUCAGUAAUGGGUUCAGCUAACCGGUACUAAAGGACGACUGCUUGGCCA
rnacentral:rRNA from 1 species